UGGGGAAUCUUGGACAAUGGGGGCAACCCUGAUCCAGCCAUGCCGCGUGAGUGAUGAAGGCCUUAGGGUCGUAAGCUCUUUCGCCUGUGAAGAUAAUGACGGUAGCAGGUAAAGAAACCCCGGCUAACUCCGUGCCAGCAGCCGCGGUAAUACGGAGGGGGUUAGCGUUGUUCGGAAUUACUGGGCGUAAAGCGCACGUAGGCGGACCAGAAAGUUGGGGGUGAAAUCCCGGGGGCUCAACCCCGGAACUGCCUCCAAAACUAUUGGUCUAGAGUUCGAGAGAGGUGAGUGGAAUUCCAAGUGUAGAGGUGAAAUUCGUAGAUAUUUGGAGGAACACCAGUGGCGAAGGCGGCUCACUGGCUCGAUACUGACGCUGAGGUGCGAAAGUGUGGGGAGCAAACAGGAUUAG
rnacentral:rRNA from 1 species